CCUAACACUAACCCUAACCCCAACCCAAACCCAAUCCCAAACCCAAAGUAACCCUAAUCCUAACCACUAACCACUAACCCCUAACUUUUUUAACUUUUUUGAAGAUCUAACUUUUCAGCUAAACUUUUUUUUCUUUUUUAAACAUUUUUAAAACUUUUUCAAAAACUUUUUUUUUGAAAAUCUUGAAAAUCUCCCCACCCCGGCGCGAGCGUGUCUAAUGC